UGAAGUCGGAAUUGCUAGUAAUCGCGGAUCAGCAUGCCGCGGUGAAUACGUUCCCGGGCCUUGUACACACCGCCCGCCACACCAUGGGAGCCGGUAAUACCCGAAGUCAGUAGUCCAACCUCGUGAGGACGCUGCCGAAGGUAGGAUUGGCGACUGGGGUGAAGUCGUAACAAGGUAGC
rnacentral:rRNA from 1 species